rnacentral:rRNA from 1 species
GACGAACGCUGGCGGCGUGCCUAAUACAUGCAAGUAGGACGCAGUUGCGAACGGGUGAGUAACGCGUAGGUAACUGCCUCUUAGAGGGGGAUAACUAUUGGAAACGAUAGCUAAUACCGCAUACUAGUAGAUGGACCUGCGUUGUAUUAGCUAGUAGGUAGGGUAAUGGCCUACCUAGGCAACGAUACAUAGCCGGCCUGGGAGGGUGAUCUGCCACACGGGGACUGGAACACGGCCCAGACUCCUACGGGAGGCAGCAGUAGGGAAGCUUAGGCAAGGGGGGGAACCCUGACCGAGCAACGCCGCGUGAGUGAGGAAGGUUUUCGGAUCGUAAAGCGCUGUUGUUAAGGAAGCGGUACUUAACCAGAAAGGGACGGCUAACUACGUGCCAGCAGCCGCGGUAAUAC